GUUCAGUAGAGCCAUAAUAAUAUAAACAUUGACUACUGACUUAAUUUUUAAAAAAAUCAUACUAUGUUUAUAUGAGGGAGGGAAAAUGUAAGAAAACUAAAACCUUAAUUAUCACACAAGAAAUCAAUAGAUGGUGUCUGUCAAGCUUGUGCCUGCAAGACAAGGUAAGGCCAAGACCUGACUGAUUCAAUCAGCAAAGAUACAAUGAACCACUUCAGAUUUAGACAGUUUAUUACUUAUAGAGAGAGAAAAAAAAUAAGAAUAAGCCAAAAGUGCUAGCUCCCUGUGAUCCUUUUCUCACACAUCAAAAAGGAUGACACAAAAGGGGCCGAUGACUGAAACGUGAGUUGUUGGAUACCCACUGCUGAGGAAUCAAUCUUAGAUUGUGGCUAAGUAGUUAUAUUCUUCAGCUCUAUUCUGAGGUAUGGGGCUUUAGUGAUUCGAUUCUUUUUAGGUUUUUUCCUUUUUUUCUUUUUUCUUUUGUAUUUAGUGAUCUGAAAAAUCUAAGUGAGGAAGUCUCCUAGAUCAUAGCCAGAAAGAUAAAAGAGACAAGAUUUUUUAAAUGUGUCAAGAUUCCUAUAAUAAGAAUUCUGAGAGAAAGUGGACUGGAUGACAAAAAGUCAUUUUCUUUUUUUUUUUUUUUUUUUUUUUGAGACAGAGUCUUGCUCCGUCACCAGGCUGGAGUGCAGUGGCGUGAUCCCGGCUCACUGCAACCUCCACCUCCCAGGUUCAAGCGAUUCUCCUGUCAGCCUCCCGAGUAGCUGGGACUUCAGGCACGCACCACCACACCCAGCUAAUUUUUGUAUUUUUAGUAGAGACGGGGUUUUACCAUGUUGGCCAGGAUGGUCUCGAUCUCUUGACCUCACGAUCCGCCCACCUUGGCCUCCCAAAGUGCUGGGAUUACAAGCAUGAGCCACCAUGUCCAGCCAAAAAGUCAUUUUCUUUUUCCUUUUUUUUUUUUUUUGAGACAGAGUUUCACUCUAUCGCCCAGGCUAGAGUGCAAUGGCAUGAUCUCAGCUUACUGCAACCUCCACCUCCCGGGGUUCAAGCAAUUCUCCUGCCUCAGCCUCCCGAGUAGCUGGGAUUACAGGCGGCCGCCACCACACCUGACUAAUUUUUUUUAAUUUUUAGUAGAUACAGGGUUUCAUCACCUUGGCCAGGCUGGUCUUGAACUGCUGACCUCAGGUGAUCCACCUGCCUUGGCCUCCCAAAGUGCUGGGAUUACAGGCAUGAGCCACUGUGCCCAGCCUUUUUUUUUUUUUUUUGGAGACAGGGUCCUACUCCGUCACCCAGGCUGGAGUGCAGUGGCCCCACCUUGGCUCACUGCAACCUCCACCUCCCGGGUUCAAGCAAUUCUCCUGCCUCAACCUCCUGAGUAGUUGGGAUUACAGGCAUCUGCCACUGCGCCCAGCUAAUUUUUGUAUUUUUAGUAGAGAUAGGGUUUCACCAUGUUGGCCAGGCUGGUCUUGAACUCCUGACCUCAGGUGAUCCACCUGCCUUGGCCUCCCAAAGUGCUGGGAUUACAGGCUUGAGCCACCGCCCCUGGCCCAAAAAGUCAUUUUCUCAAAGAGAUCAUGGUUGAAAUUUUUCCAGAAAUGAGGAAAUAUAAAAACAUUAUUGUGAAACUAGAGAACAUCAAAAAUAAAUGGUGGAGGGG
rnacentral:lncRNA from 10 species